rnacentral:rRNA from 1 species
UACAGAGGUCUCAAGCGUUGUUCGGAUUCAUUGGGCGUAAAGGGUGCGUAGGUGGCGCCAUAAGUCAGGUGUGAAAUCUCGGGGGCUCAACCCCCGGAAACUGCAUUUGAUACUGUGGUGCUCUGUACUGGAGAGGAGAUUGGAAUUUACGGUGAGCAGUGAAAUGCGUAGAUAUCGUAAGGAAGACCAGUGGCGAAGGCGGUCUGCUGGGCAGUUGCUGAC